rnacentral:rRNA from 1 species
AUUGAACGCUGGCGGCAUGCCUUACACAUGCAAGUCGAACGGCAUCGCGGGAAAGCUUGCUUUCCUGGCGGCGAGUGGCGAACGGGUGAGUAACACAUCGGAACGUACCGGCUAGUGGGGGAUAACCCGUCGAAAGACGGGCUAAUACCGCAUACGCUCUUCGGAGGAAAGCAGGGGACCUUUGGGCCUUGCGCUAGCCGAGCGGCCGAUGUCCGAUUAGCUAGUUGGUGGGGUAAAGGCCUACCAAGGCGACGAUCGGUAGCGGGUCUGAGAGGACGAUCCGCCACACUGGGACUGAGACACGGCCCAGACUCCUACGGGAGGCAGCAGUGGGGAAUCUUGGACAAUGGGGGCAACCCCGAUCCAGCAAUGCCGCGUGGGUGAAGAAGGCCUUCGGGUUGUAAAGCCCUUUCGGCAGGGAAGAAAUCGGCGGGGCGAAUAACCCUGCUGGAUGACGGUACCUGCAGAAGAAGCACCGGCUAACUACGUG